rnacentral:lncRNA from 10 species
AAUAGAGCCCCAUUCAGUAGGUUCAUUGUGUAGGGAUUUGUUGGAGUUUUAUUUAUGCAGAUUUGGAAGCAGUUGGAGAUCAUCAACAUCCAAUACACCCUCUGUCAAAUAUUUCUCUUCCAUUGUUGGGUUAUUAAAAUAUGGGUUGGGAGGUUGGGGGAUUCUGUCCUUUUUUGAAGCAAAUACUUUUCUGAAAUAAUCAAAAGAGCAUUUUUUAAUUUUGUAUUUUUUGGUAUCUAGGGUAUCUCUGAGUAGUCGAUUUUUGAUCUCUACCCAUCCUCAAAACUGAAAACCAGUCCUCCAUUUCUCCAGGGUUUACCUUUUCAUCACUUGAAGACCAGUGGUUACGUGAUUUGGACCCACUGAGGAAUGUAGAAUGAUAUCAGUUCAAAAGUAUUGGAUACCUGUGGAGCACUUUGCAAGAUAUUGCAGGAUUUUUGGGGCUUUCUAUAGAACUGCACAGAAGUAUUGCUGAGUACUUUGCAACAUGAAUUCCUGCAAUUCACAGGAAUUUGCCACGCUUUUCAGGUGAUCAUGCUUGCACUUCCAGGAACUGUGAGGCUAACAGAAGGGAUAUGCAGCAGGUUCUGCAUCCUUGAGGAUCUGACUGCAAGAACAGCACAGAAAGAGCAUGACCCAACUCAAGAGGGGUCUAGACAUCGAGUUGCACAGGACUGAGUGUGCACAAUGGGAUUUGAGAGAAGUAUUGGCAUGGGCUGACGUGAUCAGGGAAAGCUACACGGAAAUGUUGGGUUUGGUGAGUGUCUCACGCCAUUAGCAUGAAGAAAAAUGUCGGCUAGUCCUCCAACGAAGAGAGGAGAUUCUUAGAAUCAAGAAGCUUGACAUUCUAUAAGCAAAUACUCCCUCUUUCAAAAAAGGCAGUAG